UACGAAGGGUGCAAACGUUGCUCGGAAUCAUUGGGCGUAAAGCGCACGUAGGCGGCUUCGCAAGUCGAGUGUGAAAGCCCCCCGGCUCAACUGGGGAGGGUCACGCGAUACUGAUCGACUCGAAGGCAGGAGAGGGUAGUGGAAUUCCCGGUGUAGUGGUGAAAUGCGUAGAUAUCGGGAGGAACACCAGUGGCGAAGGCGACUACCUGGCCUGUUUCUUGACGCUGAGGCGCGAAAGCUAGGGGAGCAAACGGG
rnacentral:rRNA from 1 species